UGGGAAUAUUGCACAAUGGGCGAAAGCCUGAUGCAGCAACGCCGCGUGAGUGAUGAAGGUCUUCGGAUUGUAAAGCUCUGUCUUUUGGGACGAUAAUGACGGUACCAAAGGAGGAAGCCACGGCUAACUACGUGCCAGCAGCCGCGGUAAUACGUAGGUGGCGAGCGUUGUCCGGAUUUACUGGGCGUAAAGGGUGCGUAGGCGGAUGUUUAAGUGAGAUGUGAAAUACCCGGGCUUAACUUGGGUGCUGCAUUUCAAACUGGAUAUCUAGAGUGCAGGAGAGGAGAAUGGAAUUCCUAGUGUAGCGGUGAAAUGCGUAGAGAUUAGGAAGAACACCAGUGGCGAAGGCGAUUCUCUGGACUGUAACUGACGCUGAGGCACGAAAGCGUGGGUAGCAAACAGGAUUAGAUACCCUGGUAGUCCACGCCGUAAAACGAUGAGUACUAGGUGUAGGAGGUAUCGACCCCUUCUGUGCCGCAGUAAACACAUUAAGUACU
rnacentral:rRNA from 1 species